GAGGGUUGAUAGGUUAAGAGCUGAUUGACUGGACGUUACCCACAGAAGAAGCACCGGCUAACUCCGUGCCAGCAGCCGCGGUAAUACGGAGGGUGCGAGCGUUAAUCGGAAUUACUGGGUGUAAAGGGUGCGUAGGUGGUUGUAUAAGUUAUCUGUGAAAUUCCUGGGCUCAACCUGGGGUGGUCAGAUAAUACUGGUUGACUUGAGUAUGGUAGAGGGUAGUGGAAUUUCCGGUGUAGCGGUGAAAUGCGUAGAGAUCGGAAAGAACACCGGUGGCGAAGGCGGCUACCUGGACUAAUACUGACACUGAGGCACGAAAGCGUGGGGAGCAAACAGGAUUAGAUACCCUGGUAGUCCACGCUGUAAACGAUGUCAACUAGCUGUUGGUUAUAUGAAUAUAAUGAGUGGCGCAGCAAACGCGAUAAGUUGACCA
rnacentral:rRNA from 1 species